rnacentral:tRNA from 1 species
GCCUGGGUGGCUCAGUUGGUUGAGCGGCUGCCUUCGGCUCAGGUCAUGAUCCCAGAUUUCCAGGAUCGAGUCCUGCCUCGGGCU